rnacentral:rRNA from 1 species
GACAGAGGUGCCGAGCGUUAGGCGGAAUCACUGGGCUUAAAGCGUGUGUAGGCGGAUCGUUAAGUGUCUUGUGAAAUCCCACGGCUCACCCGUGGAACUGCUGGGCAUACUGGCGAUCUUGGGCCAACUAGGGGCAACUGGAACAAGCGGUGGAGCGGUGAAAUGCGUAGAUAUCGCUUGGAACGCCAAAGGUGAAAACAGGUUGCUGGGGUUGUGCCGACGCUGAGACACGAAAGCCAGGGGAGCAAACGGG